rnacentral:misc_RNA from 1 species
CGAUCAUUUUAGCCAGACAACAGAAACACAAAAGAUUUUCGACUCUCCGUCAACUCAAACAUACAUUUUGAGACAUUGAUUCCCCCAAUGGGCCUAACAGAGUUGGUGAAACUAAAGUUAACCCAUUCCUCACGCAGCCAACAGCCACCAUUGAAUCAAGAUACCCCUGGCAACAACACUCAGUGGCGCCCCUCUUAUCACAUGGCUCUAGAAUUUCAUGCAGCCUAUCUAUCGGCAAGGAAGAGGGGAAAUGCUGUUUUGUAAAGGCUUUUUCAGGCUAAAACUUCACUUCAGAGUUGUUGGUCUUGCACACCACUCGAGACCUAGGGCUAAUCAUUCUCCCUUCAAAACACAAUUUUAAUUGAAG